rnacentral:rRNA from 1 species
GAACGAACGCUGGCGGCAGGCCUAACACAUGCAAGUCGAGCGGACCUUUCGGGGUCAGCGGCGGACGGGUGAGUAACGCGUGGGAAUAUGCCCUUCUCUACGGAAUAGUCCUGGGAAACUGGGGGUAAUACCGUAUACGCCCUUUGGGGGAAAGAUUUAUCGGGGAAGGAUUAGCCCGCGUUGGAUUAGGUAGUUGGUGGGGUAAUGGCCUACCAAGCCGACGAUCCAUAGCUGGUUUGAGAGGAUGAUCAGCCACACUGGGACUGAGACACGGCCCAGACUCCUACGGGAGGCAGCAGUGGGGAAUCUUAGACAAUGGGGGCAACCCUGAUCUAGCCAUGCCGCGUGAGUGAUGAAGGCCUUAGGGUUGUAAAGCUCUUUCAGCUGGGAAGAUAAUGACGGUACCAGCAGAAGAAGCCCCGGCUAACUUCGUG